rnacentral:rRNA from 1 species
UACGUAGGGUCCGAGCGUUGUCCGGAAUUAUUGGGCGUAAAGGGCUCGUAGGCGGUUUGUCGCGUCGGGGAGUGAAAACCUACGGCUUAACUGUGGGCUUGCUUUCGAUACGGGCAGACUUGAGGCAUGCAGGGGAGAACGGAAUUCCUGGUGUAGCGGUGAAAUGCGCAGAUAUCAGGAGGAACACCGGUGGCGAAGGCGGUUCUCUGGGCAUGUUCUGACGCUCAUGCACGAAAGCGUGGGGAGCAAACAGG